rnacentral:rRNA from 1 species
UACGUAGGGGGCAAGCGUUGUCCGGAAUUAUUGGGCGUAAAGGGCACGCAGGCGGUCUUCUAAGUCUGAUGUGAAAUCCCACGGCUUAACCGUGGUAGGUCAUUGGAAACUGGAGGACUUGAGUGCAGAAGAGGAGAGUGGAAUUCCACGUGGAGCGGUGAAAUGCGUAGAUAUGUGGAGGAACACCAGUGGCGAAGGCGACUCUCUGGUCUGUAACUGACGCUGAGGUGCGAAAGCGUGGGUAGCGAACAGG